UACGGAGGGUGCAAGCAUUGAUCGGAAUUACUGGGCGUAAAGGGCGCGUAGGCGGCUGUGUAAGUUAGAUGUGAAAUUCCGGGGCUCAACCCCGGAGCUGCAUUUAAAACUGCAUAGCUAGAGUACAGUUAGGGUAAACGGAAUUCCACGUGUAGCGGUGAAAUGCGUAGAUAUGUGGAAGAACACCGGUGGUGAAGACGGUUUACUGGGCUGUAACUGACGCUGAGGCGCGAAAGCAUGGGGAGCAAACAGG
rnacentral:rRNA from 1 species